rnacentral:pre_miRNA from 1 species
UGUACGUAUGUACGUAUGUACGUAUGCAUGCAUGCAUGCAUGCAUGUAUGUAUGCAUGCAUGUAUGCAUGCAUGCAUGCAUGUAUGUAUGUAUGCAUGCA